UACGAAGGGGGCUAGCGUUGCUCGGAAUCACUGGGCGUAAAGCGCACGUAGGCGGACUCUUAAGUCGGUGGUGAAAUCCUGGAGCUCAACUCCAGAACUGCCUUCGAUACUGAGAGUCUCGAGUCCGGGAGAGGUGAGUGGAACUGCGAGUGUAGAGGUGAAAUGCGUAGAGAUCCGGAGGAACACCGAAGGCGAAGGCAGUGUCCUGGGGAGUACCUGACGCUCAGGUGCGAAAGCCAGGGGAGCGAACGGG
rnacentral:rRNA from 1 species